UCUGACUAGUCAUAAUUCUGAUGAAAUAACCUAAAUAUAUCUUUAGAUAUAUAAGAUCUGACUCGUGCAAAGUAACGUAAAGCAAAUAACGAUUCAGCAAAAGUCGUUAUAAUUAUUAUUAUUUUUUAAAAUCCCUUCCUGGUUUCACUGGUUUAUUUCCAGUUGGUUCCAGUCACUUUAAGAAGAAAUUAUUUAUUCUGAUUUUAAGUCAUUCCUACAUUUAAAACUGAAUUAUCAGGAUCCGGAAACAUCUUCUUGUCUCUAAUGUAUUAAUUAAUUCCUGCAGCUGUGGAUCCACAGCGCCCUCUAGUGGUCACUCUGCAGUCUGCUGACUGGUCGCACAGCGCCCUCUAGUGGUCACUCUGCAGUCUGCUGACUGGUCGCACAGCGCCCUCUGUCGGCUGCUCUGUCUUCUCGCUGCAUCAGGCUGCAGUAACCCUUUCCCCCCUCAAGAUGGCGCCUCCUUCCCGCUCAGUCAGGAGGACCUUGACGCAGCCGCAGAGUGAACGCCCUCCUUUUGACGCAUGCGCGGUGACUGAAACGUCCUGCUGCUUCCUGGUCAGGAGUUUGGACCGUCAGAACCAGCGGGGCAGUUUUAUCAUCCCUCAUUAAACUGACCGGAGCUGCAGGUUCGUGUUUACAGCCGAACCUUUGGACCCGUCCGGAACCGCGCCCACCGGGAGCAGAAAUCAGCUGCAGCGAGCCGAACAUCAGAUGAUGCUGAGUAACAGAAGCUAAGAACACACUCACACACAGACACACACACACA